GUGCCAGCCGCCGCGGUAAUACGGAAGGUCCAGGCGUUAUCCGGAUUUAUUGGGUUUAAAGGGAGCGUAGGCGGAUUGUUAAGUCAGCGGUUAAAGGGUGUGGCUCAACCAUGCAUUGCCGUUGAAACUGGCGAUCUUGAGUGCAGACAGGGAUGCCGGAAUUCGUGGUGUAGCGGUGAAAUGCUUAGAUAUCACGAAGAACUCCGAUCGCGAAGGCAGGUGUCCGGGCUGCAACUGACGCUGAGGCUCGAAAGUGUGGGUAUCAAACAGGAUUAGAUACCCUGGUAGUCCACACAGUAAACGAUGUAUACUCGCGGUUUGCGAUAGAUUGUAAGCCGCCAAGCGAAAGCAUUAAGUAUACCACCUGGGGAGUACGCCGGCAACGGUGAAACUCAAAUAAAUUGACGG
rnacentral:rRNA from 1 species